AUGCAAUGUCGGAUGGAAACUUGGCCCCAGCAAGUAUGGCUGCUGUGAUGCAGACAUCUUAGAGGAACCCGAGGGACAAAAGAGUAAUUCUUUGUACACCGCCGCUUGUGUAAUAAAUCCGAUGUGGAGCGCAUUGAAUGCUGCGAUUAGGCUGCAUGGCACUUACGUAGAAGACAGAAUGGGGCUUCAUUUUGCACCAAGAAAAUGGAGGCAUCCAUCCGUCCGAUCGUGACAUUCAUUAAAUGCUAAUCACAGUUC
rnacentral:lncRNA from 1 species